AAUGCAUUCUUUUAUUUUUAUAUUUAUUUUAUUUAUAAACAUAUCACAUGCAUUUAAAUAUAUAAUAUUGGAAGCAUAUAUAGUUAAAAAGUAGUUUUAAAUUCAAUGACUAUUCCUCACAAGCGUCAGACCGUUUCAUAACAGUUCCAUCAACAGUGUUUUAUCUUUUUGAUUUCAAUGAUUUAAUGUAAGGUGUCUCUCCAGUAUGAAUUCUCUUGUGUCUUGUCAAGGUACUUGAAUGAUUAAACUGUUUCCCACACACAUUACACUUGUAAGGUGUCUCUCCAGUAUGAAUUCUCUUGUGUGUUGUCAAGUUAACUGACUGAUUAAACUGUUUCCCACACACAUCACACUUGUAAUGUGUCUCUCCAGUAUGAAUCCUCUUGUGUGUUGUCAAGUGACUUGAAACAUUAAAC